rnacentral:rRNA from 1 species
CCUCCGGGAGGCAGCAGUGAGGAAUAUUGGUCAAUGGGCGGGAGCCUGAACCAGCCAAGCCGCGUGAGGGAAGCCGGUCCCGCGUCUCGUCCCCCUCUUUUUUCCUUGCCCCCCUGCGGGGCCUCGUCCCCGGCUCCGGGUACCUGCAGAAAACGCAUCGGCUCCCUCCGUGCCCGCCGCCGCGGUCCUCCGGCGGCUGCGCGCGUUCUCCGGCUUUCUUGGGUUUCCCGGGUGCGCCG